rnacentral:lncRNA from 1 species
UAAUUUAAUCAAAUUAAUUUAGAUUUAAAUCUGAUUUAAUUUUUUAAUCGAAUUAAAAAUUAGGUUGAUCCAAGUCCUAAUUGAAUUAGGACUAGUUUUUUCUUGCACUUGGCUUAUCCAAUUAAACCAAUUGGACUUGAUUAAAUCAAGUCCAAACCAAAUCUAAUUAAAUCAUAUUCAAUUAGACUUAAUUUUAACCCAUUGACUUAAUUAAAUUAAGCCAAUUAAUAAUCGAAUUGCUAAUCGAUCCUCCUGCAAUCCUUACACUAGGUUAAAUGUCAAUCGUAUUGAUCAUUUAACCCUAGAACGAUUCUUAAUCAUUGAUCAACCA